CAGAUCAACAACAAAAACCAACGUGCCAGGAAGAGAAACGCAAAGAAGCAUACAAUCGUGCAAGAAACCUUACUAACAUGAAACUUUUUGGAUUCUGGCUUCCGUCCAAAGUCCCGUGUGAGGUUUAGUAGUUAACCAACCACACUGUGUCCUGCCAGGACUUGUUGGUCCUGGUCCUCGGGCCAUGGGGCGCGGUAAGGACCAUAAUGACAUUAAAUAGAUCCGCUAAGAGGCUUAGGCAGGUUCAACAUAACGAGCUGUGGGCAUGCAGCUGCUUGUAGGAGUGGAUACACUGUAAGCCUGCGGUCUUCAAGCUCAUGAAGGCAACGUUCAAACUGCUGCAAGUCAGCUGACCAGGAACAGCUUUUUAAAAUACUGUCAGAAAGAAAGCGGAGGUAUGGUUGUAUGAACAAAGGCACUCGCUUUCUGGUAAUUGAGCAACACAGGAAGUGAUCACUGAUCAGUGGGGAGUGACACGCUAACAGCCAAUCAGGCUUCCCAAGUCCUCAAAAACCAAGAAAAGAGGUGAGAAAUCCACAAGACGGACACGCAGAACCCCUCUCCCGAAACCUAGUCAAUGUCGGAGGCCUCGUUGUCCGAGGGGAAGUAAUUGCUGCCUUUUACCCGGGUGUACUGGAUGUUCUGGUUCUUGAAGUUUAAGCCGUCCCCGCAGGAGCACAGCGGGCCCAUGAACAGGUUCUCGAUGUCCUCCAGCUGCAGGCCCUUCGUCUCCGGCAGGCAGCACAGGAUGAAGAGGAAGCCCAGCACCGUGAAGCCCGUGUACAGGAAGAAGAUGCCUGCGGAGGGAAGGUCAAAA